rnacentral:misc_RNA from 1 species
CAACCAUCAAGCCCCCGGGGCUUGCGCUGGGGCACCGCGGCCGCCGCGGUCCCUGAAAACCAGUGGCGGGCUCGCUGUCACUCCGGGCGCAGUACUAUAUCUCGCUCUGGUUGUGCGGUGGAUGCCGGCCGUUAAACACCCCCCCUUCAUACCAA